GAGCUUGAGUAGACUAGGUGAGAACUGCUAAUUAAUCACCUCUAUGGUUCAAUCCCAUAGCAAUCUUA
rnacentral:tRNA from 1 species